GCUGCCUCUUACGUAUUGUAGGCAGUGCCUGAUGGCUGAGAAGAAUCGCAGAGGACUAGAAAAGGUUUGAGUCUGAAAUUAUCUGGCACAGAGGAUUAAAGCUCAGAAAUAAGUGAUUGCGAAACAGUUCAACUUCCCUGUUAAUGACAACAACAACAGCAACACGCUUAUUAAUUCCUAGCUGGAGCAUCAAGCUUAUGAAGAUUUCCAAGACUUUAUUGUUGACCCUUGUUGAAGAGAACUCUACUUGGCUUCUUUCCUGGCUUUCCUAAAUUGUUCACAUACAAGAUAAACUACCGUCAUUCAGACUUACAGAAGUGAGAAGACAAGCUGAACCAAAUGUAAAAUGGUAGCAAUUUACAGGUAAUUCUGUAUCUUAAUUUCUCCCACAUUUUUAGGGUAAAAAAUUGUGAUAUAUGGGGGUUAUUUGGAUCAAGUGUUUUCUAAGUAGAACUUUGUCAUAAUUAAUUUUAUGUAUUUAUAGUAGUUCUCCCUGUGUCCCUUUAUCCAAGCAACACAAUACAAUUGAAUUUAUAUGCAUUUCAAAAUAGACUCCAUUUGAUUUACCGUGUAAAUACAACCACCAAGGAAUAUAGAGGUAUGACAAUCAGGAGUGAGAAAUAAAAGCAUUUCUGGAUAGAGGAUGAA
rnacentral:lncRNA from 1 species